CUAUUCUGCUCAGCUAUUUAAAAAAUGUUGAAUAUCAACAAUGGCCUUGACUGGUGCAUUGUCAACUUUUGUAUGAAGCAAUCUUGACUGAAUGAAAUGGCUCACAGAGCUGCGGCGAGGGCUCAGCUGCACGGUAGUGUGGGACUGGCCGACUCGUCUCUUUUUCUAGCCGCAGGCCCGGCCGUCUGCCCGGUCGUUCGCCCGGUCGGGCCUGGCCUGGCCUCACAGAUGGUGGAUGUCGCCACUUUUUCUUCCUGUCCUGGAAAGUGUGUCCUAACAAUAGGAAAGGCAGCCAUCGUGCAACCAGUCGCUGCUUGAACAACGUCGGACAGACGUUUGAUGUUUUAUCCAAGGCCUUUUAGAACUACACGUACAGUAUACAGCGCCGUGAAGAGGGCCUGCGUGGGCCGCGUUGGUGCCAGGGGGGGUCGGCCGGGUAAGGAGGAGGCCACCUGAGAGGGUGCUGGACUUCACGCCUCAGGUUUGGGCCUGAAAGACGUGCCAGACCUGCUGCCAAAUCAUUGGCCGCCACCUCACCCUGCAGACAUGGCUGACACACACACACGCACGCACGCAAGCACACGCGCGCAAGCACACACACACACACACACACACACACACACGAGUUUUUAUUUGCAAGCAUAUACAGCCAAGUGAAGAAUAUGACCUGCCUUUCUUUAAAGACAAUAUAAAUGCAGCAUACUCUAUUUCUAAUGCGUUUGUGUAUUCAUAAGUCAGUAUUGAUCACUUGUGUUCUACCUCUAGAACCUUCCUUGCCUUUCCGUGCAACACCUCGUAUUGCUUGAUAUAUUUCUUAAUGUUCUGCACUGUAGAGCGUGAACUAUGCAAACCUCUUGAAACGCUAGUCUUGUUCUUUGACUCGCUAUGAGUUUUGUCACUUUUUAUUAUUUUUUUAAAGCACAAGGAAAUAGUUGCUCAUUCUAAGCCCUACAUUGUUGUAAAAAUGUUAAGGCACAAACCACAGCAGUUGUGGUUACAAGUUAGAUACUACUGUCAAACAUUGCUUUGUUCUGUUUGUUUGUCAUCAAGAAAUAAGCACCUAAUCAAUUUUGGAUGGGAAUUCUUCUUGAGGUUUGAUGAUUGAGUUGAAUGAUGACUGUUUUGAACAUUGCUUUGCGUUUUGUCUAUGAAGGCAGGCAAUUGCCAAACUGGCAGGUGACACAUGGGGCAUGGAAGAAGCCAUUAAAUCAUAAACUUGCAAA